rnacentral:rRNA from 1 species
UGGGGAAUCUUCCGCAAUGGACGAAAGUCUGACGGAGCAACGCCGCGUGAGUGAAGAAGGUUUUCGGAUCGUAAAACUCUGUUUUCAGGGAAGAAUGUGCUGAUCGUGAAUAAUGGUUGGUAAUGACGGUACCUGACAAGAAAGCCACGGCUAACUACGUGCCAGCAGCCGCGGUAAUACGUAGGUGGCAAGCGUUGUCCGGAAUUAUUGGGCGUAAAGCGCGCGCAGGUGGGAUAAUAAGUCUGAUGUUAAAGUUCGGGGCUCAACCCCGUGAAGCAUUUGGAUACUGUUAUUCUUGAGUGCAGGAGAGGAAAGUGGAAUUCCUAGUGUAGCGGUGAAAUGCGUAGAUAUUAGGAGGAACACCAGUGGCGAAGGCGACUUUCUGGACUGUGUCUGACACUGAGGCGCGAAAGCCAGGGUAGUGAACG